GUUUCAAUGGCAAUAGCUUAGUAGACAAUGCCUUGGCAUACCCACGAGAUGAAUCCAAAAGUGGCACAGCAGGAACCCAAAUAUCAAGGACCUUGUAUAACAAAACCAUCCCUGCUUCCAAAGAAAAAAUUGAAACUAUGCUUUCCUGAAUUUAAUAUAUGAAGAUCUGUAGACUUCCAAGCAACAUUCAUCAUAUUCUACAAUCCCUUCAAAUUAUUCUCUCUCUCUAAAUUAACACACCACAGCCUAACACAUCGGUUCCACCUUUAUACAUGUCAGAAUCUAGACAUUAGUUUGGUCUUCUGCAGUUAUCAAAGAACACUCUUAAAGAUUACUGCAAGAUCUUUUAUCCGUGAAACAAAACAUUCCAGAUGACCACCCACUUGAUGAUGAUGAUGAACAAGAUUUACAGAAGCAGCCACGGAAUGGUAAUGAAAAUCAGGUAAAACCACUCUAGCAUGAAUGAGAGAGAAGAAGUCUACAAGAAGCACUCCUUGUAAAGUUUCAAAACAUGCUCAAAGCCUCAAAUUCAAAGUUUUAGACGAGAUGGUUCACACAUUUCAACAAUUACAAAUGAAUUGAAGGAAAUGGACUUCAAGCACUAAAGAUAUUAUCGGAAAGGUUAAUAGCCAAUCAAGUAUGACAUGAUUGUAAUCAAGGGAUUGUCACUAAUUAGAACAAAUACAAGAACACUCGAACAAGGAAAGAGAAACAGUAACCAUGUUGUCAGCCAAUCUACUUAUAGUGAUAGAACAAAAUCCAUUAUGUAUGGUAAUGUUCAAAAGUAUUUCAUAAUGAUAUUUGCUAUUUUGUUGCCCAUUUAUCA